GACGAACGCUGGCGGCAGGCUUAACACAUGCAAGUCGAGCGCGUAGCAAUACGAGCGGCAGACGGGUGAGUAACGCGUGGGAACGUGCCUUUUGGUUCGGAACAACUGAGGGAAACUUCAGCUAAUACCGGAUAAGCCCCGAGGGGGAAAGAUUUAUCGCCAAAAGAUCGGCCCGCGUCAGAUUAGGUAGUUGGUGGGGUAAUGGCCUACCAAGCCGACGAUCUGUAGGUGGGCUGAGAGGAUGAUCACCCACACUGGGACUGAGACACGGCCCAGACGCCUACGGGAGGCAGCAGUGGGGAAUAUUGGACAAUGGGCGCAAGCCUGAUCCAGCCAUGCCGCGUGGAUGAAGAAGGCCCUAGGGUUGUAAAGUCCUUUCGACGGAGACGAUAAUGACGGUAUCCGUAGAAGAAGCCCCGGCUAAUUUCGUGCCAGCCGCCGCUGUAA
rnacentral:rRNA from 1 species